UCACAAUUGGGAUGUUCUGG
rnacentral:siRNA from 1 species